ACAGCAGUGUGAUUCUGGGUUCUGUGGUUCUGGUGUGUAUUCUGUGUCUGUUCGUGGAUCUGCUCACCGCCGGCGGACUCGUCUUUAUAACCAGAAGAUGGAGGCGACUCGACAAAAUUCCUCAGCGGCAGAUCAGCACUUUGGUCCAGUUCAGUUCGACUUCGUCCACCCUGCAGCUCCACAGUCGGGGCUCAGCGGUGGAGAACAUCUACCAGAUCGCCAACUACGAGUACUGUCCCUUAAGCUCCGCCCACUGGAGACGGGGUCAGAACAAACUGUGAAAACGAGGAGAACGUCAGGAGAGAUGUCGACCACAAACCCCAGAGAGCGCUGCUGUGGGAAACGUCCAAUCAGAGGGUUCUAAAGCCGCCAUGCCGAGUUCUGGAGGCGGCCAUUUUGUCUUUAUUCCAGUUCGACGACCGCAGACAGCGACGU